UCUAUAUAUUGGCAAAUAGUGGUUACUGGAAUACUGACGAGAGCCAUUUUUUCGCGCGAAAGUUGAAAUUGCUCUGAUGAGAAGUGCGAUGAUUUUUCGUUCGAAGUUUUUGGUUGCUCGAGAUGCUAAUUUUGAAGACGAUUUGGCGUCGGGAGUGAUUUACGUGGAUGCGUGUUUUGAAUUGCUACCAGAAGGUCCGGAACAUAUUUAUUGGAAUGAGUUCGAACCAAUAUACAACUGGACUCCGCGUUGAUGUUGAAUUUGAGGCAUAAAGCUUUGAAGCGAAGUAAUUGCAACUGCAACAUGUCGCAGAGGUUUGUUCCUCUACCAACGCUUUUCUUUCUUUUUCUCUUUCUUGCACAUCUACAAAGUCAGAAAAUUCUCAAAAUUAUUCAUAUUAAUAGAACAAGAAUUCUAAACAAAAAGAUCAAUAAUCUUAGCAAUAAUUUGGUGCUAGCAUUUCAGAAAGCUCGUAAUGAGAUAAUUUCAAAUUUCUUGCUCAAAACAAUUAAGGUAAAUAUGAUGUGUUCCCCUUAUGUUUAUACAACUAUUUGGCAGAACAUUUUUCUUAAUAAAAGGGCUACACGGUUCAGUUUAGUACUAGGCUUUAUACAA